GGGCUGUAGCUCAGUGGAAGAGCGUCUGCCUUGCAUGCAGAAGGUCCCAGGUUUGAUCUCUGGCAGCAUCG